AUAAUUUUUAAAAAAGUCUCUUUUUAUGGUCUAUUGGCCAUUUCAGAACUUUGGAAAUGUAAUGGUCAAUUCAUUAGAAAGAAACAUCU
ensembl:snoRNA small nucleolar RNA SNORA2/SNORA34 family